GAUGGGGUCGUUUAGUCUGUAUUCAGACCCGAUGUUUUCUUCACAGGAGAUAAUAAUACAAAUGCUGUAUAAUUAUGCACGCCUUAGAUAAUAUAAGAGUUAAGAGAGGAGGUACUGAGAACAAGUAAAAGCGAAAAAGUAGAACUUUAACAAGAAAUAACAUUAAAAAAACAAUGUUAACAUUAAACGUUGUGCAAGCAGUUUAUAGUAUGAUUGCUAAAAACGUGCUACAUUUUUGACUCCGUCUUAGUUGCAGUUGAAAUAUCUUGAACGUUCACUAAGCUGGUACAUCGUAGAAUUAUAUGCAGUGUAAUGAUAUGAAGUAAACUGAGUGUACUAAAUUUCUGUGUAUUUGACUGCAUUUCCUGUAAUUUACCGACUGCCUGGUCCGGUAUCUAGACAUUGCAUUAGUUACGGUAUACAUGUAGCUCUAGGAACGCUAACACUCGUUGUUUAAAUAUUUCUAUGAAUGUGUAAGACAUUUAUAAUAUUAAGAACAGGUGUCAGUGUGAUGAGAACGUUUUUGAUAAUAUAGUCGGAUAAUAUAUUCGUGAUACACUUUAUCUUAUUGAGAAGUUACUAAACAAUGAUGUUGUGAUCGGCGGGAAAAUAAUUAUUUGCGAUGUCUAAAAUUGAAUGGGAUUGAUUAAAAGAACAAAAGAACAAUACUGGAAAAGCUGAUGACUGUGACAAAAGGCGCUAAUCGAAGAAAAAAAAAUAUCAGAGACGAACAAUUACACAUGAAUAAGAUAUACAUGAUCAAGAGAAGAACUAAUAUACAUGCAUAACAUCCCAGGUCAAAUAUUGAACAAGGAUCAGAAGAAAGAAUAGAUUUAGACAUUUGUGAAAGGAACAAUGGAAACUUUGGAAGUUUACUCUUCCUGAAACGUAUAACUACAACAAAGAUGUGAUCAUUGUAUUAGAAACUGAAUUUCCCAGUCUUCUAGUGGUUUAACUAGCUUACCAAGGCAUAUACCUUCAUGAUUUAUGCACUUAUCUUUUUCAUGUUUUUUUUUUCUUUUUAUAUUGUAUCUUAUCGAAGUAGCAUUGAAAACAACGGGAAUAUAUAAAUAUUUAAGAGAAAGUUACUACAUUUUGUACUUGGAAUAACUUAUUUUGAUAAAGAGAAGAUACGACGUUUGAUUGAUUCUGAUAUAAGCACAUUUGUAUUUGUUAUUGAUAUCUAUUUUGAUGGAAUAUAAUGGAAUUGAGAUACAUCGGUUGGACAAGCGAUGCAACCUUGACUCAGCCCAUAUGUUUACUCGUAUAGCUUACCUUUUUGAUCUUAUUUAAAAUUCCUAUUUAAAUAAAAACUAUUUAUUUGUUUUUAUUGGAUUGUUCGACAAAGAUUAGAUAUCAGAAAUGUAUAGCUAUGUUUCUUACGAAGCUUUUAAACUUAGCUACUUACAGAUUAUAUGUAUGGUAACACUUAAGAAUUAGUUACUUUAACUAUGUUUUCCAUUUUAAAAUUAGAAAGCAUUUGUAACGGGUAUCAGGUGUAAACUGUCUCAGUUAUAAAGCUUUGUAUAAGCGGUUGUUAAGUAAGACUAUAUAUUGGUCAAAAUAGUAGGAAAGCUUUUACUUGCGAGGAAACCCGUGUUCGAUUUUUCAGUCGGACAUAUUUUUUGUUGAUUAAGCAUUUUUAAAAUAGUUUAAAAACAAAAGAUAAUGUUCUAAUACUUAUAAUGUGACAAACUUUCAAGAAGGAUCAUUCUUAGCCCAAAAUCUGGAGUCCAGGUGUUUUUUUUAUUUCUUAUUAUACAUUUCUCUGUAAACCUAUUGAAUUUCUUCUAAAUUGCAUACUUUUACCCUUUAUAAUAAAUACGUUAUUAUUAUUUUGAGUAAGCAUGUAGCUGUUUGGGCAUCAAAGCGUAUAUAUCAACAAACACUAAAUAUUAACAGAUAAAAGUGAAAAAUGUGAAUUGAAACAUUCGCUUUUAUCUUAAUUUAAUAGAUAAAAGAAAAUUAUAAGGGGAUUCAAACCAGGAACUAAAGAACUAAGAAAUUCUACACGGUCGGGUAGGCAUAACGCUUUACCACAUGGCCGAUCAGUCAGUAAAUAGUAUGUAAAUAUUUUUCAUUAACUGUGUGGUUCACCUUGCUCAAAUGACAGGUUAUCCCUAUCAAAAUUUCUAGUUUUAUGCAUGUGCAGGCUUUUCAUUUAUUUUGCAAAUAAGUUAUAAUUUAUAUACAUACACAAGAUACUGGAAAAAAUUAUCAGCCGCGGAUAGGGUAGUAUUG